UACGGGGGGGCAAGCGUUGUUCGGAAUUACUGGGCGUAAAGGGCUCGAUAGGCGGCCAACUAAGUCAGACGUGAAAUCCCUCGGCUUAACCGGGGAACUGCGUCUGAUACUGGAUGGCUUGAGUUUGGGAGAGGGAUGCGGAAUUCCUGGUGUAGCGGUGAAAUGCGCAGAUAUCAGGAGGAACACCUAUUGCGAAGGCAGCUCGCUGGGACGUAACUGACGCUGAGACGCGAAAGCGUGGGGAGCAAACAGG
rnacentral:rRNA from 1 species